UAGCUACUUACCCAUGACCCAACUUAGUCGUUGGUGUGUUGCUACUAGCAGGACCCCUGCACUUGAUGUUUCCCAUGUCUUUCGAUUUUAGAAUGCUCAAGAAUCCAAGUGUGGGGGGGUCAAGUGACCCCCAACUAAGUCUCUGAAUUGCCUGAACACACCAUGACAUAGUACAUGGUGAGGCAAGUUGGCUCGACAAAGUCUACCCUAAGUAGGGGGUCGUCCGACCCCCUCUUUGACGGCCAACGGGAACUGAAGCUUGCAGAGGUACAUCAUCAACAUUGGGAAUUCAAAUGGCAGCAAUGGGCAAGCCCAAGAGGGGUCGAUCGACCCCACCUUGGAGCCCUGGAACCACCAUUCAGCAUCCAUUCAACGUCUACCUGCCUUCUGACUCGUUUGCCACUCCUACUCCACCUCUGUUCUUUCAUUUUUAUUACUUUUGUCUCUUGUUUGCUUUAUUAGAUAAAAUAAAACAAAAAUAAAAACAAGAAGACUUGGAUCUAUGGUUUAUGACAUUAAAAGUGUGACAUGAUUCAUGACAUUUAAAGGGUAAAAGUGUCACAAAGUCAAAUUCUUGCAUAUGCUUAUACUUGUGGGUCACAUAGCUUGAUAGGAAUAUCAUAUUGACUUGGUUGUUGACAAUUGUGAUACAGUUCUUAGAUCAUGAUUCAUACCCUUUCUAUUCAAAGCGCUUAGAGAUUUAUUUUUGAAAAUAUCAUAAAACCAUAGUGUCACUUACUCCUCAAUAGUAAGAGAAUUCCUACCACAGACAUAUAUGUUCAUACCUUGUUCAAAACCCUUCUAUAUAUGCUACUUGUACUUGUGUUGAGUUUAGUCAAACCUUGUGACCCUAGUUGAGAAUUAUGCCAUAGCCCCAAGAUCAAGAUCACACACACACCACAUAUAUAUGCCGCUUCUACAUUGGAAGUACGCAAAAACAUGCCAUCCAUUUCCACCAUAUAGAUGCUCCAUGUUUUAAGGUUUAGAAUAUCUCACACUAAGUAUUGGUUAUAAGAUGAGACACAAAGGCUAUGCUUAGUAAAAAAAAGUGGGCACAUGAAGGUCCAUUGCUUUUGAAAAAAAAGAGAAAACAUAAAAAAAAAUAAAAAAGCUAGCCAUGUCUCAAAUAAAAUAGAGAGAGAGAUCUUAUCAAAUAUAGGAGCAUUCUAUUCUAAUCAUUUUUCACACACUUACACAUCUUGAUCUAGGAUUAUGACAUUCUUCUCCUUGGAUCCUUGUUUUGCCUUUACAAUAGAUACAAUCCAAGUAUGCUAUCUUGUUUCCCCCUACCUGAGCCCCAUAAGCCUAAUAGAUGUAGGAUGAAACAAAAGAAGGCAAUCUUAUGCUAUGCCUUGGUGAGGAAUCCUAUACUUACUAAGUGACUUGAGAAUACUUUUAGAGGAGUAAGGAUGAACUGUGUGCUUUCUUUUAAAACAUUUAUCAAAAACUCUAAGUACUAAGUAUAUGAAAAUGUGAAGAUGACUUUGCUUUGAGAACGGUUCCAUUUUUCAACAACCUAAGGAUAUAUGUUAGACAGUGCCACAUAACCCACUUGUAUAAGAUAUGUCUUGAGUAGUCUUUGUGUUUGCUUAUAUCUUAAAAGUGUCAUAAUCAUAGGUUAUCUUUCUCUAACCUUUGCUCGAGGACGAGCAAAGACUUAAGUGUGGGGGUUCUUGUUGACGGGAAAUAAGACCCAGUUCUAUAUACUCAAAAGCCCAUCAACAGUCCUCGAUUGAAGGAGGAUAAGAAUCACUUGAACAUAUUUAUCACUAAUAAAGUUCCACUUGUACUCUUAACUUGCUCAAUGCAGGGAAGAAGGAAAUGAGCCUUGUGGGCCCUAUAACCCCGGUCGGCCGACCAAGGUUUGGGCCCACCAGGGGCUCCCCUCCAUGGCAUGAGCCAUGGCAUACUCCAAGGAGUCAAUCCCAACCCUUGGAUCCAAGUGUGCUUGCCCUCAACGGUUCAAACACUUAGAACAUGGAUCCUUGGGCCCACAUGGAAGCAAGCAAGUGUGGAACUAGACUCAACUUUAGACAACACUUCACAUGACAAUUGGGGACACCACCAGGAGGCCAGUGGUGGGCUAGGGGCCCCAAAGGUCGGUCGACUAACGG
rnacentral:lncRNA from 1 species